GUGCGACUUCGGUCGUGCAUAUACUAAAAUUGGAACGAUACAGAGAAGAUUAGCAUGGCCCCUGCGCAA
rnacentral:snRNA from 1 species